GAGAGAGUGUGACUUUCCAGCUGGGACUGGGAGGGUUUCCUGCGAAUUACACUGAUAAAGUCUGUUUCCUGGAGAAAAUAGACAAGAAGCAGUUGGCAACAGGACUCGUGUACUGCAACGCAAGCACACGAGGAGUCAUUUGAACAGGAAUGGAGUCGAUAAUUCAGGAGAAAAGGCUGUUUUUCUGAUUUAAGUACAAGAGAAGUUCUGAAAAAGAAAUCUGGGGCUUUUCCUGCAUGUGUGAAGAAGAAGCUCCAUCAUGGCAGGCAAGGCAAGAACAGGGAUGAAUGCAUGACCAGAUGUGCACAUAGGAACUUACUCUGCCAAGCACAGAAUGAAUGAGAGGGAUAUGAGAGGAUCUAAGGACUCAGCUCAACUCUUCCCACUGUGCCCAUUCAUAACUGCAUUCAGU
rnacentral:lncRNA from 1 species